CCUGGUGACUAUACUGACGGGGAAACGCCUGAUCCCAUUCCGAACUCAGAAGCUAAGCCCGUCAGGCCGAUGGUAGUCCGCAAGGGCGAGAGUAGGUCAUCGCCAGGA
rnacentral:rRNA from 1 species